rnacentral:lncRNA from 1 species
UAGGAAGUUGCAGUAAACAAGACUAUGCAAUGCAACUGUUUUACUAGUUUGUGGACAGAAAUCAAGUUGUGUUUGAAAGAAGGAACAAAUAAGAUAUCAUGAAGAAUGAUGAAUGGAUUUAAUGCAAAAGAUCCUAUGCAUGUCACUUUCAAUUUAUAUCCAUUAGGAAGAGUUACAAGAUAGGGCACAGUUAAAGGUGUGAGCUUGAAGAGUAGAUUUUUAUUAAAAGUCAUAUGGUUAGAUGCCCCUGAGUCUAUUAUCCAGGUGGCUGAAUUAAUGUGAGUAAGUAUGCAAAAUUUGGAAUCAGAAACAGGGCUCUCAGUUAGCAUAGUACCGGCAAAACUGGCAGCAUACAUGGGAGGAGGAGUCUGGCAGUGGAGUCCCCUAACUGAGUUUGUUGUAGCAAGGUCAUCAAUUGGUCAUAUUGUUUUCUGCUCAACCCUGGUAUCACAGAACUCUGGCCAUCCAUGUUUGGAACAGGGUGAUGACUUUCAGGAGGAUUCCCAUAAGGAACAGACAUAUUUCCUUCAGAAGAAGGGAAAUCCACACCAAUAGUGAGAUGAGCAACAGCAGGUCUCCUCCCCUGGUUAAAUGUUAGACUUUGUGGAUACCCAUGAAUCUUGUAACACUUAUCAAU